rnacentral:rRNA from 1 species
AUUCCAGCUCCAAUAGCGUAUACUAAAGUUGUUGCAGUUAAAAAGCUCGUAGUUGAAUUUCUGGUCUUGGACGGCGGUCUACCACAAUUGUGGUACGUACCAACUGUUCGAGUCCAUCCUCGGGGAAAACAUGCCUGUGAUUCAGUUCAUGGGUAUGGGAUCCUCGUCAUUUACUGUGAGCAAAAUAGAGUGUUCAAAGCAGGCUUAUGCCGUUGAAUACAUUAGCAUGGAAUAAUAAGAUAGGACCUUGGUCUAUUUUGUUGGUUUGUACUCCAAGGUAAUGAUUAAUAGGGAUAGUUGGGGGUAUUCGUAUUCAAUUGUCAGAGGUGAAAUUCUUGGAUUUAUGGAAGACGAACUACUGCGAAAGCAUUUACCAAGGAUGUUUUCAUCA